GUACAGACGCUCUCAGGCACAGACGCUCUCAGGCACAGAUGCACAGGUACAGACGCUCUCAGGUACAGACGCUCUCAGGCACAGAUGCACAGGUACAAACGCUCUCAGGCACAG